AACUUAAUAGAAUUGACGGGGGAGCACCACAACGGGUGGAGCUUGCGGUUUAAUUGGAUUCAACGCCGGAAAUCUUACCGGGACCGACAGCAAUAUGAAGGCCAGGCUGAAGACUUUGCCGGAUUAGCUGAGAGGUGGUGCAUGGCCGUCGUCAGUUCGUACUGUGAAGCAUCCUGUUAAGUCAGGCAACGAGCGAGACCCACGCCCACAGUUGCCAGCGUACUCUCUGGAGUGACGGGUACACUGUGGGGACCGCCGCUGCUAAAGCGGAGGAAGGAAUGGGCAACGGUAGGUCAGUAUGCCCCGAAUAUCCCGGGCUACACGCGAGCUACAAUGGUUGGUACAAUGGGUAUCUACCCCGAAAGGGGACGGGAAUCUCCUAAAACCAAUCUUAGUUCGGAUUGAGGGCUGCAACUCGCCCUCAUGAAGCUGGAAUCCGUAGUAAUCGCGUUUCAACAGAACGCGGUGAAUACGUCCCUGCUCCUU
rnacentral:rRNA from 1 species